rnacentral:sRNA from 1 species
AGAGCACCUUCUCUCACUACUCUGGCCAUACCACCCCCGCGAUAGAGGAUCAACACAGCUGUCUCUGUGCGCUCUGGAUCAGCGCUUCCUAGAUUUCUAGCCGGAUCGUUUGGGGAAGGGCUCUGCAUCUUAUUUCCGGUGGCGGUGAGGUGCAGUUGCCAUGGUGAUUAGAGAACGGCCGAGAUCUGUCCAUCUGCGAAUGGCGAUCAGUCCACGAAGCGAUGCAACUUUCUCCAGUCAGAAAUCAACACCUUCAGAGAGUCCUCGAACAAAGAAAUUUCCACUAACUGAAGAGGAAAUAUUUUAUAUGAAUUGUAGAGCUGCCUACUUAACUGUCUUCAAAAGCAGCUUGGAAAACAUUAUUUCUAAAGAUCAACUUUACUUAGCUCUUCAGCAUGCAGGAAGAAAUCCAUCCCAAAAGACCAUUAAUAAGUAUUGGACUCCUCAAACUGCCAAACUGAAUUUUGAUGAUUUUUGUAUAAUUUUAAGGAAGGAAAAACCUACUUCAAAAGCAGAACUACUAAAAUCAUUUAAGCAAUUAGAUGUAAAUGAUGAUGGCUGUAUUUUACACACUGACCUUUAUAAAUUUCUAACAAAGAGAGGUGAGAAGAUGACUCGAGAAGAA